GGUUCGGUGGCGUAGUUGGUUAUCGCAUCUGUCUUACAUUGCAGGUUUGAGGAUGAUCGUAUCACAGAAGGUCCCCAGUUCGAGCCUGGGUCGAAUCA